AGGUACUUGGAGUGAUGGAAAACUAGUUACUAGAAUCGGAAGAAACAGUGGCUGUGUUUUGACGAUCAUGAACAUUUUGGUUUAGUUUGGUGCUCCAGAAAGUAUAUUGGUUGAUGGAAAGCCUCACUUGGGAACUGAUAGGCUAGUUCCUUUACUCCGUAACUUCCGCCAACAUCUUCAAUCACUGGGUGUGGAAAUCAAGUUUGGAACAAGGGUAGAUGAUUUGCUCAUACAGAAUGGACAUGUUGUGGGCGUGGAAGUCUGAUUCAACAACUAAAUUGCAAUCAGAUUGCAAUAAGUUGGGAUUUGAUGCGGUUAUUCUGGCAGUUGGGCAUUCUGCACGAGAUAUAUAUCAAAUGCUUCUUUCU